rnacentral:rRNA from 1 species
AACCUUUACACUGCACGCCAGUGCGAUAAGGGGAUCCCGAGUGCGCAGGCAUAGAGCCUACGCUUUUGUCCACCGUAGGGAGGUGGACGAAUAAGGGCUGGGCAAGACCGGUGCCGGCCGCCGCGGUAAUACCGGCAGCCCGAGUGAUGGCCGAUCUUAUUGGGCCUAAAGCGUCCGUAGCUGGCCGCACAAGUCCAUCGGAAAAUCCACCCGCUCAACGGGUGGGCGUCCGGUGGAAACUGUGUGGCUUGGGACCGGAAGGCGCGACGGGUACGUCCGGGGUAGGAGUGAAAUCCCGUAAUCCUGGACGGACCGCCGAUGGCGAAAGCACGUCGCGAGAACGGAUCCGACAGUGAGGGACGAAAGCUAGGGUCUCGAACCGGAUUAGAUACCCGGGUAGUCCUAGCCGUAAACAAUGCCUGCUAGGUGUGGCUCCCACUACGAGUGGGUGCUGUGCCGUAGGGAAGCCGUGAAGCGAGCCGCCUGGGAAGUACGUCCGCAAGGAUGAAACUUAA